rnacentral:rRNA from 1 species
UACAGAGGGUGCGAGCGUUGUCCGGAAUCACUGGGCGUAAAGGGCGCGUAGGCGGUCUGCUAAGCGUGUGGUGAAAGCCCGGGGCUCAACCCCGGGUCGGCCGUGCGAACUGGCGGACUUGAGCGUAUCAGAGGCAGGCGGAAUUCCGGGUGUAGCGGUGGAAUGCGUAGAGAUCCGGAAGAACACCGGUGGCGAAGGCGGCCUGCUGGGAUACUGCUGACGCUGAGGCGCG